rnacentral:tRNA from 1 species
UCGGAAGAAACGGGAGAAGUCCCCGGAGAUCCUUUAUUAAUCUCUUGGNGGCGAUUGCAUCGCGUUGUCUUGGGACUGGUUGGGGAGAUUUGGU